CAGUAGCCACGGUAAUACAGAGGGUGCAAGCGUUAAUCGGAAUUACUGGGCGUAAAGUGCGCGUAGGUGGUUUGUUAAGUUGGAUGUGAAAUCCCCGGGCUCAACCUGGGAACUGCAUCCAAAACUGGCAAGCUAGAGUAUGGUAGAGGGUGGUGGAAUUUCCUGUGUAGCGGUGAAAUGCGUAGAUAUAGGAAGGAACACCAGUGGCGAAGGCGACCACCUGGACUGAUACUGACACUGAGGUGCGAAAGCGUGGGGAGCAAACAGGAUUAGAUACCCCUGUAGUCCCUGUCUCUUAUAC
rnacentral:rRNA from 1 species